rnacentral:rRNA from 1 species
CCUACGGGAGGCAGCAGUGGGGAAUAUUGGACAAUGGGCGCAAGCCUGAUCCAGCCAUGCCGCGUGAGUGAUGAAGGCCCUAGGGUUGUAAAGCUCUUUCGCCGGUGAAGAUAAUGACUGUAGCCGGUAAAGAAGCCCCGGCUAACUUCGUGCCAGCAGCCGCGGUAAU